rnacentral:rRNA from 1 species
AAGGCGAAGCUCCUGAUCGAAGCCCCAGUAAACGGCGGCCGUAACUAUAACGGUCCUAAGGUAGCGAAAUUCCUUGUCGGGUAAGUUCCGACCUGCACGAAUGGCGUAAUGAUGGCCAGGCUGUCUCCACCCGAGACUCAGUGAAAUUGAACUCGCUGUGAAGAUGCAGUGUACCCGCGGCAAGACGGAAAGACCCCGUGAACCUUUACUAUAGCUUGACACUGAACAUUGAGCCUUGAUGUGUAGGAUAGGUGGGAGGCUUUGAAGUGUGGACGCCAGUCUGCAUGGAGCCAACCUUGAAAUACCACCCUUUAACGUUUGAUGUUCUAACCUAGGCCCAUAAACUGGGUCGGGGACCGUGUCUGGUGGGUAGUUUGACUGGGGCGGUCUCCUCCUAAAGAGUAACGGAGGAGCACGAAGGUUGGCUAAGCAUGGUCGGACAUCAUGCGGUUAGUGCAAAGGCAUAAGCCAGCUUGACUGCGAGAGUGACGGCUCGAGCAGGUACGAAAGUAGGUCUUAGUGAUCCGGUGGUUCUGAAUGGAAGGGCCAUCGCUCAACGGAUAAAAGGUACUCCGGGGAUAACAGGCUGAUACCGCCCAAGAGUUCAUAUCGACGGCGGUGUUUGGCACCUCGAUGUCGGCUCAUCACAUCCUGGGGCUGAAGUAGGUCCCAAGGGUAUGGCUGUUCGCCAUUUAAAGUGGUACGCGAGCUGGGUUUAGAACGUCGUGAGACAGUUCGGUCCCUAUCUGCCGUGGGCGUUGGAAGAUUGAGAGGGGUUGCUCCUAGUACGAGAGGACCGGAGUGAACGCACCACUGGUGUUCGGGUUGUCAUGCCAAUGGCAUUGCCCGGUAGCUAAGUGCGGAAGAGAUAACCGCUGAAAGCAUCUAAGCGGGAAACUUGCCUCGAGAUGAGUCUUCCCUGUC